rnacentral:lncRNA from 1 species
CCACAAUUGCUUAAAAGAUCGUCGCCAAAUUCCGCCAUCAUCUCCACCACCGCGGAUCAUCCCGUGAAUUGCAACAGGUUCUGGUUUCCUACCUUACUACUAUUGUAAUUUAGUUAUCCCUAUCCGAAAAUCCAAAACAAAAAAAAAAUUGUUCCUAUAUUCUGCAUAAACUUUCGUCACAAAGUUUUCAUCUCUACAACAAAAGAUACAUUGCAGAAUUUCAGCCGCAUAACACUGUUUGUUUGAUCUUGAUACUAUAUUUUCUCUGAUAUUACUGUCAAUCCCCUCUUCAAA